rnacentral:rRNA from 1 species
GAUCAUGGCGUCAGGAUGAACGCUAGCUACAGGCUAACACAUGCAAGUCGAGGGGCAGCAUUGGGAUAGCUUGCUAUUCAGAUGGCGACCGGCGCACGGGUGAGUAACGCGUAUCCAACCUCCUGCCAGUAGGGAACAGCCCGGCGAAAGUCGGAUUAAUGCCCUAUGUUCUUCAAUGCGGACAUCUAAGUUGAAGGAAAGAUUCAUCGCUGGCAGAUGGGGAUGCGUCCGAUUAGCUUGCCGGCGGGGUAACGGCCCACCGGGGCGACGAUCGGUAGGGGUUCUGAGAGGAAGGUCCCCCACACUGGUACUGAGACACGGACCAGACUCCUACGGGAGGCAGCAGUGAGGAAUAUUGGUCAAUGGGCGUAAGCCUGAACCAGCCAAGUAGCGUGCCAGGACGACGGCCCUACGGGUUGUAAACUGCUUUUAUGCGGGGAUAAAGUGCGGCACGUGUGCCGCUUUGCAGGUACCGCAUGAAUAAGGACCGGCUAAUUCCGUGCCAGCCGCUGC